ensembl:misc_RNA 7SK 7SK RNA
AGGAUUGGGCUGAUAUGACUGUCUGGGCAGUGCCCCCUUCCUCCCCAAUUGCUCUAUGUUAUCCCUCCCCAAGCUGCAUGCUAUUUUGAAGAAGGUGACAUUCCCCCCACAGAGGAGGACCAAUCUUCUGCUGUACCAUCAAGGAGAUACAGUUAGGCUCCUUGCCUGAACCAUCAAACAAGCUCUCAAAAUGUCUGAAACUAGUCUGCUUAUUGUUCCAUUUUCAUUGAAACCUUUCAUUAGAAAU